UUCAAUAUCUGUAAAUGCUAGCGAAUGAAACAUAUAUAUAUAUAUAUGUUUCAUUCGCUAGCAUUUACAGAUAUUGAA
rnacentral:miRNA from 1 species